rnacentral:lncRNA from 1 species
CCUUCAAAGCUGAGUACCUCCUAGAGCACCUCCAGCAUUUGAAGGAAAUAGAGUUUCCAUACCUAAUCUAGGACUAUAUGACUAUAUCAGAGUAUGCUUGAAGGUUCCUAGAGUUGGAACGGUAUUCCCUUGAGAGCAUGAUGGUUAAAGGUAGGAAGACAAAGGAGUUCGAGUGGGGCCUCUAUUUUGAGAUUAGACAGUAAUUGUAUGUAUUUGAGCUCAAUACUUACUCA